UGCCAGACUCCUACGGGAGGCAGCAGUGAGGAAUAUUGGUCAAUGGGCGAGAGCCUGAACCAGCCAAGUCGCGUGAGGGAGUACUGCCCUAUGGGUUGUAAACCUCUUUUGUCGGGGAGCAAAAGCCGGACGUGUCCGGCUGUGAGAGUACCCGAAGAAAAAGCAUCGGCUAACUCCGUGCCAGCAGCCGCGGUAAUACGGAGGAUGCGAGCGUUAUCCGGAUUUAUUGGGUUUAAAGGGUGCGUAGGCGGGCAUUUAAGCCGGCGGUCAAAUGUCGGGGCUCAACCCCGGCCUGCCGUCGGAACUGGGUGCCUUGAGUGGGCGAGAAGUAUGCGGAAUGCGUGGUGUAGCGGUGAAAUGCAUAGAUAUCACGCAGAACCCCGAUUGCGAAGGCAGCAUACCGGCGCCCUACUGACGCUGAGGCACGAAAGUGCGGGUAUCGAACAGGAUUAGAUACCCCGGUA
rnacentral:rRNA from 1 species